GGGAAAAAAAGAGGAAAAUUUACUUUUUUUUGGCUAAUGUUUCCAUUACUGCUAAGCUGAGCCAGGAAUAAAUUCACUACACAAAGGGAGUUGCUGUCUUAAAUAAGUAUCAAGGCUGGAGGAUACAGCAAUGAGAAGACAGCUCUGUUAUUGCUUUGUGUUUUUAUUAAGUCUGGUUUAUGAAAUAAAAUGAGUCUUUUCCUUCAGAAAAAUGAACACCAGGAAAAAAAGAUCUAGUCUAACCGUGGUGCUCUCCACUCUGAUCAUAUUGUGCUGUCCGUGAAUUAGAAGGAACUCUCCUACCCCUAAAUAAAACUGAUUUAGUUACUGCAACAUGUAUUUAAAGGUAGUUAUAGGGAAAAGUAAAAGGAGAAUGAUAAAGUGAAACUAAACAAAAUAAAACCAUGUUGUUCUCUCCAAGAUAAAAAUAAGUAUUUCUUUUCUCUGAGAAACCAGUGAGGUUAUUUUAAGAGUAACCAAGGGAUUAUAACGAACAAAUUCCUAUAAUAGCAACCAGACACACUCAGAAAUAAACAAAAAAAAAUUGGUUGAACUAAAACUGAGAGCAAUUCCCCCGUGACAUGAAUUUUGUUUACAAAUGAACUUAAAUAACUCCCUCAUAAUUGUGUGUAACUGUUAUGAUUUACAGCAGGUGCUCUAAUCAAUCACCCAAUCACUUUAAUUUAUAGGGAGCCUCGCUGCAUUUUCCCAGUUGUUUCAUUUCUGCAAGUAAUUGAUAACAAACCAUACUUAAGGUAUGUUUUAUGCAGGAGUUAAUAAGAGCCGACAGCUGCUACUGCAGCUUCCUCUCGGAUCCGCGGCAACACGCGUUUCCGUAUAGAAAAUAUACGCUGAAAUUGGGGCUUUCGCUGGUGGGAGAGCCCUGGCAGUCCAGCGGGCAUGUUUCAGAGGAGAAGACUAAUUGAUUACACACCCUCUUCAAGCAGAUACUGCUCCACAAUCUCCCCUUUCCACUCAAUCAAUUGCAAAACCAAUUCGGCAAAUAAUAAGGUUCUAUUAUGCACAUAUGCCAGCUAUUUAGGUAGUUAUAAUACAUGUCAGUUAAGUCAUAAAAGCCCUGUUUAUUUGCAACAUAUCUGGAGAAUCAAACCAUUAGGCUUGAGCGGAUAUUUAAGUCGUCUGGAGCUGCUAAACAAUAAGAUCGGGUAUCCUAAUAUAUUACCAAGUGCUAACUACUGGGCAAUUGCCAAUUUUAUAACCUCAGUGCAUGGAAUAGACACAACCGUGUUUCACUGUUUUUAUUGCAGAUCAUUUCCUACUGCCAGACCAGACCCCCACAAUAAAAGCUCUAUAACAGCUAAAAACCAAAAGGCAUGUCGAUUUCAGAUAUACAUAUUGCUUCGUAUGCCUUGUACGUAGUCUCCAGUAUAAACAAAUUAUUUUGAGUGGCUUGACUUCAGGGAAUCGGAAAGUGAAAUGGAUUCCUAUUUUUCUAAUAUUUUUAGUUAGGCACUUUAUGCAGCUCAUAAAGGUGGUUUCAAAUAGUUUGGGAAUGGCUCAGACAUAGUUAUAAAAGAGUUAGAGGCCCGCUCCUGCUUUUGUUGCUAUUAUUAGGAUUUUUUUUCCCAUUGAUUCUAUAGGAAAAGACUCGUUUGUAUAUCAGAGGCAGUACCAGCAGACCAAAAAUUUGUAUUUGUAUUUUCCCCCUCCUUAUACAUAAAUAGAUCUCUUAUUUCAUGCACAAUGAUCUGUCUGAGUGAAGCAUCAGAAAAAAUAGAGAAAAAAAAAAAAAGUUGGAUUAACACAGUGCCACCAGAUUUUCAUGGCUGGCAUUUUUUUCCUUGGGACAAACACACGGGCUCUGCGGUUCGAGUACACCUUUACCGUGGCUAUAUUUAGUGACCAGUUUAUCAGGUCACUGUCCAGUGAACUGAGAAAUUAAACAAGAGGCAGCAAUUCCACGAACAUCUGAUCUUAGUCCAAACUCACUAAAGAGAGAAGGACCCGUGCAAUGCUUAAAUGUACCUCACCCCGCUCGCCUUGGCCUUUUGGAGCACUCAUUACAUUAGUUAACCUUUGAAUUAUGGAUUUUCACGUGCUCGGUGUUUUUUUUCCCCCCUUGCAAAUUGCUUUUGGGAAGCAGGCUGGCUCCCUUCCCUGCUAUGCUGAGAGCUCCUCAGCUUCUUUUCCUAGCAGUGUUUCCCUGAAAAGGAAGGUAUGAACAAGCCCAUCAGCUGCAGCCUGAUAGCUCGGAACCCAUUUGAGAGUCUUGCCAGGCGGUGUAAGCAUAUCUAUUGCAAUUUCAUAGCUUCAGAGAGAUCUAUUCUAUCUAGGCUCUAUAUCUUCUGUAAAUUACCUAAUGCUGCCUCAAAAAAAGUGUUUGCCAUGGAAUGAAUUAUCUCUAUCUAUAUCAUAUCUAUAUGUUUAUCAUGGCUGGAGCUUUUCAGACACAGCCCAGACAUCAGCAGAGAUAACAGAACGUGGAGCUUUUGUGGCUGAGGAGAUCUCCACGUCCGUGCGUGCAGCUGCACGUGUCAAAUCCCUGCGCGUAUGUAAAUAAACCCGAAUGCUGAGUGUAUUUUUAGCCAAUGUCAACUUCCCCAGUUGGUCAGGGACUGCCACCACUGCUGAAAUGACACAGAAUAACACACACGUAUCCACGCAGCGUCCCCACCGCUCCUGCUUCACUUUAUCCCAUUUAGUUCUUGUCAUCCCCAGCAGAAACUGUUCGAUUUUCUUUCACUCCCAAACUCUACUUGCUGCGUGUGUGUGAGCACUCGCAAAUACAUCAUUCCCCCUUUCAAAAUCUUUGCUUUCUCCUUUCUUUUUUUUUUUUUUUCCUUAUUUACCUUCUUUGUCUCUUUUUUCCCCCCUCUCCUUUUCCAUCCCUUUAUCUCUUUUUCUUCCCUCUUUUUUUUCCCUUUCUCUCCUCCUGUGGUUUAUUCCAGCCUCUUUGUCAUUUCUCCCCCUUCCAUUUCUCUUCAGCUUAUCAAUAAACCGGGAGAGCAACAGUAGCCGCUUGAUUUGUUAGUAAUUAUAAGCAUACUGUUCCUGCAAACGGGAUCUCUAGAUGAGUGAGAUCGCUUUAGAACGACAGCAGGAAAUGGUGGGGAAAUGGAGCAUGGCGAAACUCAGCGUGAAGCUUUCAGUUCUUUACAUGUUUACAAUUUUCUGUGCAUAUAUUAAGUCUUAGGCUUUUUCUUUUUUUUUUUUUUUUUUUCUUUUUUUUUGGUGGUGGUUUUCUGCCGGGCUGCUCGCCACAAACGUGUGAAAAUGCGCACAAAUGUGAACGCGCCAAGUGGAGACGGGGGUGAAAAAAACUGUUUUGACGACAGUAAAACUAAAGAAAUAAUAGACUUGCGUCCUGCAAACAGCUGUUCAAUAAGGGUUUAAACUAUGGCUAUCAUUUCAAUAAUCCAGCUGAAUAAUAUCUCAGUCGAACAGUCAGUUAAAUUAUCAAUCAGAAGAAAUAUUUCUCGUAUUUCUUACUACAAAACGUCGUGGGUAACUUAAUUACUAAUAAACUAUCAAACUACUUUCCAAAUUUUUACUCUGCCUGGGCUUUAAAUGAGUAAGAAUUUCUUUGUCCAUGCUAACAACAGGACUUUGCUGUAAGUGAUGAUUCGGUCUGACUCAGUAGCCAAACCUAAAACGUCCGGGAGCAGCGUCUUAGACGCUGAAAAUGAAGAGACUCGGAUCUUAUCUUAAUUUUAAGGAACAAACACAAAAAGUGCGCGUUCAUCUCGCAUUUCCUUCUGUCCCCCUCGUCCCCUGCUCUCCUCCAGCCCCUCUCCCCACGGCAGUCCCCGUCCCCUGAAAGCUGGGACUGAAUUUCAAGGUGGAAUGUAUUCCCUCGGAACUGUUUUGCAUUUAAUUAAAGGGGAUCCUCAGGUUCAGUGGGUAACCCGGGAAUAAGCACGGAACCGAGCGGCAUUGAAGCAGCAUCUCUUGAGCCCCAGAUCUAUCACCUGAAAAGCUGAGGCCAGAGUGGUUCUCAGUUAAUCAUUGAUCAGCUGUUCCGAGGGGUGGGCAGGAAACUCGUGCUGGAUUAUUAACAGCUAAAAACAAAAGGUUAAGACACCUUCUUUCAUGUGUUUCCCUAAAAUAGGAGGAACAACGGAGCAUGUUCGCGAGACCUUGAAUUAAGGUCUUCAAGUUAAAAUGGCCUUUCAUGCUAAAUCAGAUGUGAGUGUGCAGACCAUCGUCAGAAACAGCUGAAAGUAAAUAAAUACAUCAGAAUAAUUUUAAGGUCACUGACUGUGCCCCAGAGUCACAAAAAAUUAACUUGGGACUCAGGCCAUGUGAGGUUUUGCAGGAAGGCAACUUCUUUCACUAUAGAGAGUGCCAAGGAAAUUUCAGAUGAGCAUUUGACAAGGGGACCCGAUGUUUUAUUCCUGGCAAACCUGGCACGUGGCAAACCUUCUCUUCAUUUCAGCAAAAAUCGAGAGAAAGGCCUCAAAACGGGCAGCCGCUCCCAACGAGGGAUGAUGAGCAAAUCCUGCAGCCUGCUGGAGUGCAGCGUGGCGCACCUCGAUGGCACAGAAACGAAGCCCAGCCCAUUCUCAUGGCACAUAUUUGAUCAGACACGCAUAAGCUACAGCAAAGAGAAACUUCUUUAUCCAACUGUACAUCUAGAUAUCCGUUCAACUCUUUGGACAACUGAAAUAAGAAAAAAAAAAUCCAGUAUUUGAAACCCUUCCUGAAAAUUAUAUCUAGUGAUGGUGGAAAUGUGCUGAAUAAAAAUUACAGUUGCUAGAAAAGCUUCCUCGAAUCUAGAAUAAAUCCACGUUAAAUAUCAAGAUGGAAAACUGCCCAACUUCAUCUGUCACUAGUGGAGGGACAAGAAUAGAAAAUGCUGAGUGGCAGCAGCGAGUUUUGGGCUGCUUUCCCUCCUGCCUGCGUUAACUUGAAGUUGGACACCUCUUCCUUCACGUGUUUCUCCUUGGGAUACCCUCCUCUCCCUCUUCCCCUCCUCCCCCAACCUGCGAACAAACUUUCAGAAAUAAAGGGCCUGUUUCAUUUCCUGUUGUCUCAGUACCCCAAACCAGAACCCCAGCCCUGCAGGUCCGCAGCUUCUCCUGUCCCAUCCUAUCCCCAUCCCAUCGCACCCACUCUGGCCCCGCCAGCCCCGGCGAGCAGGUCGCGGGUGGCCGCGGGUGGCCUCGCUGCUCUGGGAGCAUCGGGGGGAGGCACUUUCCGCCAGUGCAGUGCCCUUCCGCAGAAGGGAUGUUUUCUUGGAAAACUGGUGGAGAGCUGCUUUAUUUGAGCUCCUUCUUUCCUAUUAUUUCUUCUCUCCUUUCUUUUCUCUAUGUCUCUUUCUUUCCCCAUCUUUUCCCCUCCUUUCCCUCUCUUCUCUAUCUUCUUUUCUUCUCUCCUUCCGUACUUUCUACAUUUUAUCUUUUUUUUUUUUCUCUUUUUAUCUCUUUCUUUUCCUUCCCUCUCCUCUGUUUUACUCUCUUUCUGACAAAAACACAACAAUCGCCGGCUAUUCUUUGGGGAAAGUGUAAAUAUCCAGGCACAAACAGUAUCUAACGCCUACCGGCUGCAGAGAGAAAGGAGAAGAGCGAUCUGCUUUCUGCAUGCACAGAGGUAAAACUCGCCUUGACUUGCAAACCACUUUGUCUGAGCCAGGAAUGCGAGACCAGACCUGCGCAUCGCACCCGCGGCGGCCAGGGGCUGCCCCCAGGUCUCAAAGCCACCUCGGAAACCCGCAGAAAGCAGCGACCCGACGGUCACUGAGCUCGGAGGCAGGAGCAAAUCCAAACAGCAAAAUCUUUCUUUUUCUAAAACAUUUCGCCCCAGCAAAGCCCGGGGAUUUUCCUAAGACAAGCCUCAAGCCAAAGCAAUGCAUCCUCUCCGCUUCCCUGCCGCUCAUUCCUCUCUUGUUCAGCAGCAUCCUUUUUCACGGCUAUUUUUUAUCUUCCCAGCUCCUCUUUUCCCCUUUCUUUUUCCCUUUCUGCGACUCUGAAGUCGUUAUUUCGUUCAGUGGUCCAUACUUUUAUCUAUACCAAGACUAAAUGCAUAUACAGAUAUGAUAUAUGAUAAAGAAAUUUGGGGGGAAAGAAUAUAAAAACGCAUGGAGGGGAACCCCCAAAAUCCCGAUUAGGAGAGCCUGAAGCAGGACUUGGACCCUGGAGGCUCCAGCCCCCGCCUCGGGGGUCCCCAGGGGCUGGCCAUGCCCUGCUCCAGCAAGGUGCAGACCGCCCCAGCAGCGAAGCUGUUAAGGGUCCUUCUGUUUUUAGGGAAUAACACGUGAUGGUGAGUUUCGCGUGGGAUGGAAGAAAGCUGGGAAAUACUGUGCUUUGAGCCCGGCGAAACUCCUUUGUUAUCCAAAAGAGGGAAUGAAACUAUUUAAAAUCAGCGCUACCUUACCAAGCACACCUAACAAAUAAGGGGGUGGGGGGACGGACAAGGGACUUGUUCCUGAUCACCAGUUAUUGCUUUUGAUUUGGGUUUUGUUUAUAAUUUCCCUCCCUCUCGGAUGAAAAAUGUACUAAUUCGACAGUUUCAUCAAAAUCUCUGAACGGCAGGAAAUUGGUUGGGGGGAGGAGGGGGAGGGUGGAGGGGAGUGGAAGAUGAGAUUGCAUGGGAAAUAACUGGAAUUUGAAAAGCCAAGCUUGAACUCUGCCAGCUUUUGAAACACGUGGAAUAUUUAGAGCAGCAUGUCUGCCUUCCCCCUGCACUUUGCUGCUUUGCCAUGUAGGGGAGGGUUUAUAAAGCAGAGCCUGUGCGUGACGGCGAGGAAAUAAAUUCUCUUAUAAAAAAAAAGAAAAAAAAAAAGAAAAAAAAAAAGAAAAAAUAGAGGGAGAGGGAGUACCACAGUUACAAAACCGGUGUGGAAAAAGGAUGGCAACCCACAGCAAUAUUGCUGGAAAUCCCUCAGUGACCAUUCCUAGCGCAGGGACGGGGGCUCCAGCUGCACUGCCCAGGAGAAAG